rnacentral:rRNA from 1 species
CCCGAUUGAUCCUAAUAGUAGUCAUAUACUUGUUUCAAAGAUUAAGCCAUGGAUGUAUAAGUAUGAACUAAUUCAGACUAUCAAACUGUGAAUGGCUCAUUAAAUCAGUUAUAGUUUGUUUGAUGGUAUCUACUACUCAGAUAACCAUAGUAAUUCUAGAGCUAAUACGUGCAACAAACCCCGACUUCUGGAAGAGAUGCAUUUAUUAGAUAAAUGGUCAAUGUGGGCUAUGCCAAUUGCUCUGAUGAUUUAUGAUAACUUGACGGAUCACACGACCUUUGUCACAGCGAUGCAUCAUUCAAAUUUUUGCCCUAUCAAUUUUUGAUGGUAGGAUAGUGGCCUACUAUGGUGGUGACGGGUGAUGAGUGACGAAGAAUUAGGGUUCGAUUCCAGAGAAAGAGCUUGAGAAAUGGCUACCACAUCCAAAAGAAGGUAGCAGGUACGUAAAUUACCCAAUCUUGACACAGAGAGGUAGUGACAAUAAACAACAAUAUUGAGCUCUAUGAGUCUAGUAAUUAGAAUAAGUACAAUCUAAAUCGCUUAACAAUGAUCCAUUGGAGGGCAAGUCUGGUGCCAGCAACCAUGAUAAUUCUAGCUCUAAUAACGUAUAUUUAAGUUGUUACAGUUAAAAAGCUCAUAGUUGGAACUAGGGUUAAGUUGUCUGGUUCGUCUCACAAUGAGCACUAAUCUACUCAUCCUUACUAUCGACGAUGACUCCGGGCCUUAAUUGGUAGGGUCAUUCCUCUGAUAAUGUUACUUUGAAAAAAUUAGAAUGCUCAAAAUAGGCUUACACUUGUAUACAUUAGUAUGAGAUAACAUCAUAAGAUUUCAAUACUAUUGUGUUGGCCUUCAGGAUCGAAGUAAUGAUUAACAAGGAUAGUCGAAGGCAUUCGUAUUUCAUAGUCAGAGGUGAAAUUCUUGGAUUUAUGAAAGAUGAACAACUGUAAAAGCAUUUGUCAAGGAUAUUUUCGCUAAUCAAUAAUGAAAAUUGAAGGCUCGAAGAUGAUCAGAUACCGUUCUAGUCUCAACCAUAAAUGAUGAUGAGCAUCUAAUGAGAAAUCAAAGUCUUUGGGUUCUAUAAGGAGUAUGGUCACAAGGCUGAAACUUAAAAGAAUUGACAGAAGGGCACCACUAGGAGUAGAGCCUAUGGCUUAAUUUGACUCAACACGAGGAAACUUACCAAGUCAAGAUAUAGUAAAGAUUGACAGAUUGAAAGCUCUUUUUUUAUUCUAUAGGUAGUGGUGCAUGGCCAUUCUUAGUUGGUGGAAUGAUUUAUUUGGUUGAUUCCGUUAACAAAUGAGACCUUAGCCUGCUAACUAGCUACGCAGAGGUGAUCCUUCAUGGCUAACUUCUUAGAGGGACUGUGGCACUUAGGCAAAGGUAGUUUGAGGUAAUAAAAAGUUGGUGAUACCCUUAGAUGUUCUAGGCCACACGGACGCUACACUAAUGUAUUCAACGAGUCUAUAGCCUUGGCCGAUAGGCUCGGGUAAUCUUUUAAAUUUUAUCAUGAUAGGGAUAGAUCAUUGCAAUUGUUAAUCUCCAACAAGGAAUUCUUAGUAAGCACGAGUCAUUAGCUCACGUUGACUACAUCCCUACCCUUUGUACACACCACCCGUCACUCAUACUGAUUGAAUGGUUUGAUGAAGUGUUUAGAUUAUGGUGACGUGGAUGGUUCACCACCCACGACAUCACGAGAAGUCCACUGAACCUUAUCAUUUAGAGGAGGAGAAGUCAUAAAAAGGUUUUCAUAGGUGAACCUGCAAAAG